rnacentral:rRNA from 1 species
UACGGGGGGGGGUAAGCGUUGUUCGGAAUUACUGGGCGUAAAGGGCUCGUAGGCGGCCAACUAAGUCGGACGUGAAAUCCCCCAGCUUAACUGGGGAACUGCGUCCGAUACUGGAUGGCUUGGAUUUGGGAGAGGGAUGCGGAAUUCCAGGUGUAGCGGUGAAAUGCGUAGAUAUCUGGAGGAACACCGGUGGCGAAGGCGGCAUCCUGGACCAAUAUUGACGCUGAGGAGCGAAAGCCAGGGGAGCAAACGGG